CUGUAAACGAUAGAAUUACCAUU
rnacentral:snRNA from 1 species